GAGAUUGGUUUUGAUUUUUUUCUUCGAUGGCGGAAUUGGUUGGGCCUCGCUUGUAUAGUUGCUAUAAUUGCCGGAACCAUGUUUCCCUUCACGACGAUGUCAUUUCUAAAGCUUUUCAGGUGAAAUUCUUGCACUAGUGUUCUUAUAAUUCAUAGAUUGAUGUUGAUUGUUUUUCUAGAAU